rnacentral:misc_RNA from 1 species
GAUGAAGAACGCAGCGAAAUGCGAUAAGUAGUGUGAAUUGCAGAAUUCAGUGAAUCAUCGAACCUUUGAACGCACAUUGCGCCCUGUGGUAUUCCGCAGGGCAUGCCUGUUCGAGCGUCAUUGACACCCUCAAGCUCUGCUUGGUCUUGGGCGUUUGUGCCUGCCGUUGCGCAGGGACUCGCCUCAAACUCAUUGGCAGCCUGCCUUUGCCGGUCUUUGCACAGCACAGUCGUGCCAAAGCCGCGGUGAGCAGGCGCUCCACAAGCCCUUUUCAGCUUGACCUCGGAUCAGGUAGGAAUACCCGCUGAACUUAAGCAUAUCAAUAAGCGGAGG